CAGGGUGAGAAAGAAUGUCCAUAUUACAUGCGAUAUCCAUACAUCUGCCAUUUUUGUCAAGGUCUGCUGCUAUUUUCCGGGAGUGUUUUGAUCCUAUUGUAGCAAGAUCUGGUCGUGAUUUGAUUCCUGUUAUGGUGUAUGGAAGAAACAUUUAUGGUCAAGAGUUUGGAGGAAUGUACUGUGUAGUUUUAACUGUGAGGU